rnacentral:rRNA from 1 species
UACAGAGGGUGCAAGCGUUAAUCGGAAUUACUGGGCGUAAAGGGCGCGUAGGCGGCCUUCUAAGUCGAACGUGAAAUCCCCGGGCUCAACCCGGGAACUGCGUCCGAUACUGGAAGGCUUGAAUCCGGGAGAGGGAUGCGGAAUUCCAGGUGUAGCGGUGAAAUGCGUAGAUAUCUGGAGGAACACCGGUGGCGAAGGCGGCAUCCUGGACCGGUAUUGACGCGUGAGGCGCGAAAGCCAGGGGAGCAAACGGG